UACGGGAGGCAGCAGUGGGGAAUAUUGCACAAUGGGCGAAAGCCUGAUGCAGCUAUGCCGCGUGUAUGAAGAAGGCCUUAGGGUUGUAAAGUACUUUCAUCGGGGAGGAAAAACAAAACUAAUAAUUUUAUUUCUUGACGUUACCCGAAAAAGAAGCACCGGCUAACUCCGUGCCAGCAGCCGCGGUAAUACGGAGGGUGCUAGCGUUAAUCAGAAUUACUGGGCGUAAAGAGCACGUAGGUGGUUUUUUUAAAGUCAGAUGUGAAUCCCUGGGCUUAACCUAGGAACUGCAUUUUGAAACUGAAAUACUAGAGUAUCGUAGAGGGAGGUAGAAUUCUAGGUGUAGCGGUGAAAUGCGUAGAUAUCUGGAGGAAUACCUGUGGCGAAAGCGGCCUCCUAAACGAAUACUGACACUGAGGUGCGAAAGCGUGGGGAGCAAACAGGAUUAGAUACC
rnacentral:rRNA from 1 species